rnacentral:rRNA from 1 species
UACGUAGGGUGCAAGCGUUAAUCGGAAUUACUGGGCGUAAAGCGUGCGCAGGCGGUUUUUCAAGACAGAUGUGAAAUUCCCGGGCUUAACCUGGGAAUGGCAUUUGUGACUGGAAGGCUAGAGUGUGUCAGAGGGGGGUAGAAUUCCACGUGUAGCAGUGAAAUGCGUAGAGAUGUGGAGGAAUACCGAUGGCGAAGGCAGCCUCCUGGGAUAACACUGACGCUCAUGCACGAAAGCGUGGGGAGCAAACAGG